UAGAUGUUGUACAAGGUUCUAGCCACACGGUCCCUAUUGUAGCUGGACAAACUCGUUUUCUGACAUAUUGUCUUCUUUCACACCCAUACUCUUCAUUUUGUAAUUACGUCAUUUCUUUGGACAAUGUUGAGCAGUGUGCUUUGAUUCUCCACAAUAUAAAUAUAAUCCUUUUUGACGACAAUGAGUCUUUUUUUCUUCAGUAAGAGGUUUGAAAUGUAUUGCAUCAAUUUCUAUAUCCUCUACUUCCAAAUGUAUGUGUUGAAGAGGUGUUGGUAUUGCCAUUGAAUUAUAGUAACGUUGAGGUCUACUUAUACGGUUACGAGAUCGAAAUUCAAAAAGGUGAU
rnacentral:lncRNA from 1 species